AACAAACGCUGGCGGCGUGCUUAACACAUGCAAGUCGAACGAGAAGUACCGUAGCAAUACGGUAUUGUAAAGUGGCGCACGGGUGAGUAACACGUGGGUAAUCUGCCCUCGAGUUUGGGAUAACCCCGCGAAAGCGGGGCUAAUACCGAAUAAGACCACAGGGACCAAAGUCCCCGGGGUAAAAGGUGGCCUCUAUUCAUAAGCUACCACUUGAGGAUGAGCCCGCGGCCCAUUAGCUAGUUGGUAGGGUAACGGCCUACCAAGGCGAUGAUGGGUAGCUGGUCUGAGAGGACGAUCAGCCACACUGGAACUGAGACACGGUCCAGACUCCUACGGGAGGCAGCAGUGGGGAAUAUUGCUCAAUGGGCGAAAGCCUGAAGCAGCAACGCCGCGUGGGGGAUGAAGGUUCUCGGAUUGUAAACCCCUUUCGAUCGGAACGAAUCCCCUCCUGGUGAACAAUCAGGAGGAUCGACGGUACCGAGAGAAGAAGCCACGGCUAACUCUGUGCCAGCCGCCGCCGUAAGAC
rnacentral:rRNA from 1 species